rnacentral:misc_RNA from 1 species
AAGUCGUAACAAGGUAACCGUAGGUGAACCUGCGGUUGGAUCAUUAAAAAUUUCAGGGGUUUGCAAGUCAUUCCCCUUGUCCUGCCGUUGACCCGUUGUUAUCGGUCGAGCGUCGAGCAAACUUGUUAGCCCUUAAGUGCCUAAAAGUGCUUAAGGGAGUUCUCAUAUCGUAGCUCGUCGCCCUCUUGUGAACAAUGGGAACGGUAUUUGGCGACAUUAUGUGAACUGUACCUAUCGACAUGGAUUGCGGACUGUUUUUUCAGUGCCAGUCCUUGUUGGCAGGUUUCUUUCCCACUUUUUUUUUGUCUGACAUUAAUUUUUGUAUUAAUCUACAAAACAACUUUUGGCAACGGAUCUCUUGGCUCUC